UGUAUUUGUAUUUGUAUUAUCAUAUAGUGAUAAUUUUUUUUUUUAAUUUUACACAUGCACGAAAUACCUUAGACCCGUUUGGAGAGACUGAGUCAGUAAGGACUCUUAAAUACGCUUCUCCAAAUUAUCCAGGACUAUUUGUCCGCAUGGAUAGUUUGGGCUUAUUUUAUACUUAUAGUAUGAUCUAUUGCUUAUUUGAUUAUUUCAUUAGUAAAUAUUUUGGUACAACGUCUUCUUACACAUUCUUGUAAGUCGGCAAACUUAAUUACUACAAGUUUGCUAACUUAUAAGAACUGUGGGGAGGUGUUGCCGAAAGUUUUACAAAAAUGAAAUAAUCUUAAGAGCGUAGAUUGUACUAUAUGUAUAUUUUGUGCAAGUUAGAAACAAUUUUUCUACCGGCUUUCUUUGACAUAAUGGUUCACGUAGUUAUGCAUCGCCCUAAAGAAGCCGUACUAGGUGGACCAGUGCAGUACAGGUGGAUGUAUCCCAAUGAGCGGUCAAUGUCUGUGUACAAGAAAUAUGUCAGGAAUCGUGCCCGUCCGGAAGGCUCUAUUGCUGAAUCUUAUGUGGUUAAUGAGGCAUUAAACUUUUGCUCAAUGUACUUUCGAGAAGUGGAAACUCGAUUCAACCAUCCUGACCGGAACAAUGACAUUGUCCAAAACAUGCCAACUCGACAAUUUUCUGUAUUCAAGCAUGUUGGCCGACCGCUAGGUAUGAGGACAGUCGACACCUUACCCAUGCAAAGCAAGCGUAAGGCGGAGUGGUACAUUUUGAACAAUUGCACAGAGGUUGAGCUGUAUAUCAAGUAAGUAUAAAUCCCAUAAACAGUUACUCACAAUAGUCAACUUCACCUAUAAAAUUCUUAACUUACUAAGUGCAUUAUAUUAUAUAGUGAGCACAAGGAGUUGCUUCAAGCAAGGGGUGUAGGCAAUAUUGAAAAAGUGCAGGAGAGUGAGUUCCCUGAAUGGUUCAAAACUCGAAUAAGCAUUGUUGCCCCUCAAUACUCAUAAUCUUGUUCUCAAUAACUGUUAAACUUUUCUUAAUUUAAUAUUUUUCCUGAAAUGUAGAUUAAUGAACUACGGUUGAGCAACCAGGGUGCAGUGUCAGAUGAGUUGUAUGCUAUUGCUAACCCAACGAAUGCAUCAAUUUAUUUUUAUCCAGGGUGCAUAGUGAACGGUAUUAAAUUUUUGGUCAAGGAAAGGAAUGAUAACCGCAAAACACAAAAUAGCGGUGUUAUGGGGCCCGGUGAAGAUGGACAAAAUUUUUACGGCACACUUGAAAAAAUUAUGGUGUUCACUUAUUUAAAAGACUACAGUGUUCUCUUAUUUUUGUGUAAGUGGUUUGACACUAAUGGGAGUAAAAUGGAUAGUGACGGUGUUAUUACUAGCAUUUGCGUCAACCGAGAGUGGUACCAAAAUGAACCGUUCAUACUUGCAUCUCAAGCAAAAUUGAUCUAUUACAUUCCUGAUUUGAAGAACGGUAAAGACUGGCUGAUUGUAAAUGAGUACAUACCGCGAAAUGUUUGGGACUUCCCGGACACUGAUGGGGAGACACCCUUUGCACAGGAAAACAAUUCAGCUGAAACCGAGUUCGUUGUUCAACUUCCACAGUUGGAUGAUGUUGACUAUGUUCGCCAUGAUGUGGACCCAACUGAAGUUGCAAACAUCUAUCAUGUGAAUUCACAGCCUCAACAAUUAGAUGAUUUCAUUUUCGAUGAUGACAACGAGGGUCUAAAUACCGAAGAAGAUAACUCCUGAGAAUUAGAGAGUGACAGUGAUGAUAAUGUUGUAUAUGUAACUGAUGAUGAGGAUGAUGAAUUGUAAUUGAAAUAGUAUUUUAAAUAAAAUAAAAAUUAAAACCCUUCUUGUUUAAUAUGUUUUGAAUAUGGUUGUUUAUUUUAAAUAAAAAAUGUGUGUUGUAUAUGUAGUAUGUCUACACCAGGUGGCAGCAGUUCGAAAAAGAAAGGGAUCAGAGGUAAAUACAAAGGCAAGAAUGUUGAAGAGGAGCUCUCCAAAACACAAUCUGCCAAGUUACAGAUUGAGUUGCAUGCUGAGACUGGCACCCCCGUCGGCAAAAACGGAAAAAAAUUCAACAACAUGGCUAAAUGGAUGACUCGGAUGUCUAUCCCCAUCAAUAAAUUCAAAUGGGAAGAUGUCAGUAGAGUUGACAUCAAUGCACUGUGGGAUAGACUUGAGACAAAGUUUGUCCUCCCACGAGAUAACCCUACAUUAGUAGACUACGGUGAGUACGAGAUGUCAAAAGGGUUUACGUGACUGGAGGGCAGACUAUAAGAAAAAGUGGAUACAAAGCAUUGAGGAGCUUGAACAAGAGAGGGCCAACAUGUUACCUCCUGACGGAGUAACUCAAGAGGUGUGGAGUGACUGCAUCGCUUAUUGGAGCACAGACAAACAAAAGGCGAGAGCAGCGAAAAAUAAAGAAAGUCGGGGUAAGAUGAAACUUCAAGGAGGUUGGGGCUCGAAGCCUAUUGUUUCACAUGUUGUCAAGGGGGCUAACCCCGACAUAGGAGAACUGCCAACUGCAGUGGAAACUUUUCAAAAGUUUCACCAUAAAGGCAACAGUUGGCGCAACGAGUACGCACAACAAGCUUACGUAAGUUUACAGUUUAAUUCAAUUUUUAUUUAUUUAUUUCAAUUUAUUUUGUAUUAAAAUUAACCAUUUAACUUAUUUAUUUGUUUUAGGAGCAAAUGGUUGAAAUAGCGGCAACUCAACCAGCGCCCACUGAAGAUCAGCCCGAUGAGCCUGCUAUCGAUCCUACACAGUACCCCCAGGACUUACCUGUUAUGACGCAAGUACUCGGGGAACGAUCUCGACAUCUUAGAGGCUUUGGCCAUCUCCCCAGACUGAAGGGAGUUGGGGCCAAAAGAGCACCUGCCACGCAUUCUUCGGCCCCACCGACUGUUACAAUGGAACAGUACGAGGCUUUGCAAAAAAAAGUGGAGGAAGCGGAGCAGACAACUCAAUAUACGAGGCAAAAGUAUGAGACACAACAACUCUAACUCGGACGAUUCCAAGAUCAGUUUGAGUAUCUUUCUCGAGCUGUUCCGCGUUUAACCUUGCGUCCCAUGGAUCUUCCACCAUUGCCCACUCCUUGUGUUGGAUCGUCAUCGGCUGCUCCUGGUGCUGGAUCGUCAUCGCAGCCUCCCGAGACUUAGAGAAACAACGAUGAUGACAUUACCCGCCUAUAGAACUUCAC